rnacentral:rRNA from 1 species
GUGCCAGCAGCCGCGGUAAUACGGAGGAUGCAAGCGUUAUCCGGAUUUAUUGGGUUUAAAGGGUGCGCAGGCGGGCUGUUAAGUCAGCGGUGAAAUGUCCCGGCUCAACCGGGGCACUGCCGUUGAUACUGGCAGCCUAGAGUACAGACGGCGCCGGCGGAAUGUGUCAUGUAGCGGUGAAAUGCUUAGAUAUGCCACAGAACACCGAUCGCGAAGGCAGCUGGCGAGGCUGGGACUGACGCUCAGGCACGAAAGCGUGGGGAUCAAACAGGAUUAGAUACCCUGGUAGUCCACGCAGUAAACGAUGAUAACUUGUUGUCGGCGAUAGACAGUCGGUGACAAAGCGAAAGCGAUAAGUUAUCCACCUGGGGAGUACGAUCGCAAGGUUGAAACUCAAAGGAAUUGACGGGGGCCCGCACAAGCGGAGGAGCAUGUGGUUUAAUUCGAUGAUACGCGAGGAACCUUACCUGGACUCAAAUGUUGACUGACCGAUCCAGAAAUGGAUCUUUCCUUCGGGACAGUCAGCAAGGUGCUGCAUGGUUGUCGUCAGCUCGUGCCGUGAGGUGUCAGGUUAAGUCCUAUAACGAGCGCAACCCCUACGUCCAGUUGCCAGCGGGUAAAGCCGGGGACUCUGGAGGGACUGCCGGCGCAAGCCGAGAGGAAGGUGGGGAUGACGUCAAAUCAGCACGGCCCUUACGUCCAGGGCGACACACGUGCUACAAUGGCCGGUACAGAGGGCAGCCACCUGGUGACAGGGAGCGAAUCUCGAAAGCCGGUCUCAGUUCGGAUCGGAGUCUGCAACUCGACUCCGUGAAGUUGGAUUCGCUAGUAAUCGCGCAUCAGCCAUGGCGCGGUGAAUACGUUCCCGGGCCUUGUACACACCGCCCGU